rnacentral:misc_RNA from 1 species
AAGUCGUAACAAGGUAACCGUAGGUGAACCUGCGGUUGGAUCAUUAAUAAUUCGUUCGUUCGUUCGUUCGUUCUAACCUUUUGUGAACCGUUCUGUCUCUGGCGGCCGGGUGCUUGUGGCUUCUGCUUCUCGCAUCUGUCAGCUUGGUGAAAACCGAGCCGUGGACAAACCGCCAACCACAACCACAUGUAAACCCAUGUUUAUUUUUUUCUUUGUCUGACAUAGUUUUUGUAUGAAUGUACAAACAACUUUUGGCAACGGAUCUCUUGGCUCUC